GAGGAAAGUCCGGACUUCAUAGAGUAAAGUGCCAGGUAAUUCCUGGGAGGUGUGAACCUACGGCAAGUGCAGCAGAAAAUAUACCGCCAAGAAAUUGGUAAGGGUGAAAUGGUAGGGUAAGAGCCUACCGCGCAUUUGGUAACAAAUGCGGCAAUGUAAACCCCACUUUGAAGCAAGACCAAAUAGGAAUCCGUUUAGGUUACUCGCUUAGGAUUCGGGUAGGUUGCUUGAGCAAUAUGGCAACAUAUUGCCUAGAUAGAUGACCAUUUAUUACAGAAUCCGGCUUA
rnacentral:RNase_P_RNA from 1 species